rnacentral:lncRNA from 10 species
AGGGACUAUGAUUUAAUCAGCUCAGGUGUGGCCUGGACUCAAAUUUUUUUUAAGAUCACAGGUAAUCUAAUGCACAGACAGGUUUGGGAACUCCUAUGCAAGACUGAUUUCGUAUUUCUACUGUACUAGAGGAAAGAUGGUAGUAGAGGAUUACAGAGAGGAAGGCAGCUCCAUUUCCUCUCCACAGCUGACAGAGUGCAGAAGAUGUGAAAGGCCUGAUGAUCCUCACAGAAUCGUAUUUGGGUAUUCUCCAAAUCCAUUGCCAUGUGUGGAACAUGCAUCCCUGAGGACACGCUGAUGCUUCAGGAUCAUCAGGUGAUGCUCAGUGGUCCCUGACAGCUCCCCGGGAGCAGAGUGGAAAGGGCGUGUGAGCAAUGAAGAAAAGGAUCCAUGCUCACGAUGGAAACAUAGUAGUGAGCAGGGAGCAGUGUGCAUGAGGCAAUGGUCUUGAGACUGCAAGAGGAGACCUGUGGGAGAGGAAGCUGUGUCCCAGGAAUGACAAGAACAGUGUGUGAACCCUGACCAUUAGCUGAGGUGCUGGCAACAACCACCAGGAGUCCCCAAAAACACCCAGCAAGAAUCCCCUCAGAAAAGGCUGAAAUGUCUAUAACCUAAGUAGUCAUGGGAAUUUGAGCCAUUGCUAUGCUGUUAUUUAGGCAUGAAAAGGAAGUGUUCCCUUAAUUUUCAGUCACAUGCACGUGAAGCCAGGUCACUUGCAGGAUGUAUUUAUAAUUUCGAUGUAAAUUUAAUUUAUACGAUAUUGACCUUUUUCUGAAAUUUACAUUUUUUCAUAAUAGCAAAUAAUAUGGUAAAUAAUUUCCUACAUUAGUAAAUAUUAAUAAUUAUACUAAAUCAAUAAGAAGAAUAUUAAAUAUUCUCUAACAUAAUUUAGAUGGUUAUAUAAUUUGCCAUUAUGUGGGACUACUAUAAUUUAGACAAUGAAUCAUGUAUCAUGUGACAUAUAUUAUUUUUAUAAACAAAAUUUUUUAACUGCAUCUUUGCACAAUUUACGUUUGUUUCCUUAGCAUAUAAGAAAAGUCCGCUUUUACCCUAUAUCCCUCAUCUUAGAGGCUGUUCCCAUGUCCCCUUCUCAGAGAGUUUGCUCCCAUGGACACUAAGGUAAAGCAAAGGAUGUAACAAGAGCUGCCAUGUUCCUGAGGCCUCCCAGAUCACAGUUCCAUCUCACGCAUAAUCUCACACAUUUCUCUCUAAGGUUCUGAGUUGGUAUCACAAGUUUCCCCUUUGUUGGGUCAAAUAAGUUUCUGGGUUGUUGUUUUGCAGUGUUUUUUAUUGGUGCUUUUUUGUUUUGACAAUAAAGUGAUCAUGAUUGGACACUUAUGAUAUAGCCUGUAGGAGGAAUUGUUGGAUUCAAGUGAAUAAAAGCAUUCACAGAGAGUAUAUUCAUGUACACAGGUACACAUACGCAACCCACACUGGUAUUUUUGGUCAAAUACCAGUCCAGUUGCUGCUGUGAAGAUACUUUUUGGAUUUGGUUAACAUUUAAAUUAGUAGACUUUGAGUAAAGCAGAUGACCUUUCACAAUGUGAGUGGGGCUUGUCCAAUCAUUUGAAGGUCUUGACCUUAACAUCUACAGGACAUAUGCACACAUAUUGAAUACUGCCCUCCAAAAUGGUUUCACCAGUCUCCAUUCCUGUACACAUUUUCUAAAUCUAUUAGCAAGGGCAUCAUUUUCCCAAACUUUUAGGUGAAAAAAAAAAAUAGUAUUUUAAUGCUCUUUUAUUUGCAAAUUUUUACAAUUAAUGAGGUCGAAUUUUUUCCAGCACAGAUAUGGUCAUUUGUUUCUUCUUUCAUAAAUUGCCUCUUUUUAUCCUUUAUUUUCCUAUUUGGAUAAUUAUGCCUUUCUUAUUGAUUUCUAGAUAAUUUCCUCACCUAUAGUUUGCAAAUAUAUCCCAUUUUUGAGUGUUAAUGUGCUCAAGUAUAUCAACAGGUUUACAACUCCUGCCUAAGUGUGAUAUUUUAAAAAAUCUUCUUUGUCCCAAGAUUAUGUUUAUAUUCAUGUGUAUUUUCUUUCAUAUUUUGUAUACUCUUUUUUUAUAUUUACAUUUUUAAUUUGUCUGGAAUCUAUGUGGUUUAUGGUCUAAGUCAGAAAAUUAAAUUCAUAUUUUUCAAAAUGCUUUGUCAGUUGCCUCAACACCUUGUAUUCAUUAAAUACAUUCUGUCUUCACUUAUUUGAAAUUCUGCAUUUAUCAUAUAUUAAAUUCUUAAGUAUAUUUGCUCUCUUUUAGAAAUCUGGUUUAUUUCUUUAAUUUGAUAUUCUAGUAUUAUGCUGUUUCUAAAUCCUGUGUCUUCGUAAAUAUGUGUGAAGGUCUUGAUAAAGCAAAUUUUCCCCUCUUCAUUAAUUUCCUAAUAUUUACUUUUGAUAUUUUUAUUUCUUUAUUUUUCCAGGCCAACUUUGAGAUUAUAUGGGCAUUGGGUCCUUCCACACCCAUAAAAAUCAUCAACUUCUCUUCCUUUGUCUCCUAAUCAUCAUUGUAAUUUUCAUCCUGGUGAGCAUUUCACUGAAUUUAUCUUAAAUGUUUAGAAUUAGAAUAAGGAGAAGAGAAUAGAAAUACUUGUAUCAGUCAGGGACCUCCAGAGAAACAGAACAAAUUAGAAUAUGCAUGUCUAUGGAGAGAGGUUUAUUUUACGGAAUUGGCUCUUAAGAUUGCAGAGCUGACAGGUCCUAAAUCUGCAGGACAGGCCAGCAGGCUGGAGACUCAGGGAAGAUCUGAUGUUGCCCAGUCAAGUCUGAAGGCAGUCAGGAGGAGAAUUCCUUCUUCUGCUGGGGAUGUCAAGCUUUCCUCUUAAGACCUUCAACUGAUUGGACAAGCCCCAAUCACAUUAUGAAACGUCAUCUGCUUUACUAAAGUCUACUAAUUUAAAUGUUAGUCAAAACUAAAAAGUAUCUUCACAGCAGCAUCUGGACUGGUAUCUGACCAAAAACUAGGUACCAUGGUCUAGCCACAUUUACAUAAAAUUAACCAUCACAAUAGUCAUAAGAUUUGGUUUUCUCUUACUGAAAUGCGGUAUAAUUGGGAUUUAUUCAAAUCUUCUUUUAUAUCCAUCCAUAAAGUUUUGUAAUUUUUCCUUAUUGGCCUAACAAUUCCUGUAAAGAUUAUUUGUAAGUAGUUAAUAAUUUUUGUAAUCAUGAUGAGUUUAACACUUUUAUUUUAUUACAUGUGCUCAUAUGUUGUUGCUGACACUAAGAAACCUAUAGGUCAAAAGAUGCAAACUAGGGCCACAUGAGCACGGCAGCACCCAGCCAGGACUCUGCUGCAGCUGCCGUUUGUAGAUGGAGCUCUCUGUCUCCAAAGAAGCACAGGCCUGUUGUUCUUCUGGUUGUGCUACAGUAAAAUGAACCUGGGUUUUCUGAACAUGUGGUUGAAUGUCAGUUGCUACCUAUCGUUUCACUUGUGAUAUUGAUUUUAUUAAUCUUAAAGUUAUGUGAAUGUUAACUAUUUCUCAUAUCUAUAUCUUAUUCAAAAUCUGGGAAAAUAAAAGACUAAGGAAAAUAAAUCUUUUUUUCUCUAAAGAG